rnacentral:lncRNA from 1 species
GAGGGUAAUUGAAUAAUUUCACUUCAUUGGGCCCCGAUUGCAAGGGAGGUACACUCUAUCCCUCACUUGCACUUUAUUUUUCCUACGUGCUCCUAUGUGUUAUGAGAAUAUGCCUGUCUACUUCGCUUUCCUUACCUCUUUGCACGCAUUUACUUACUUUCUUUUAUUUAAGUUUUAUGGGGUAUGUGUACACCUCUUGGCUUGUAAUAGAUAGGGCUCGGAGAGCAUCUGGUCCAUUUCCCUUUCCCCUUUAUGCUUUCAUGGGGUAUGUGUACACCUCUUGGCUUGUAAUAGAUAGUGCUCGUAGAGCAUCUGGUCCAUUUCCCCUUCCCCUUGGUUGCUUGCUUUUGUUGUUACAUGUUUAAUUGCUUUAUUAGGCUCUUGCAUCUAGUCGAGCAUGCUAAAUGCUAUGUGCUAUGUGCUUACGAGUAUUUUGGCAUGUCUACUUGCUUUCAUAGCCAUGAAUGAAUGGAAUGGAUGAAUGUACGUCGCCACACUAGUCCAACGCUAGUUGUGGAUCAUUAUUUCAUUAGGAAUUCAUAGAAAGGGCUAGUCCAACGCUAGACCCAAUAGAAUUUUUCCUUUAUUUUUCAUUGAUGCAUUAUUUGCCUGUUCACUACAUAUCAUGCAUUUUUUCUUAGUUUUAUCACUUGGCAUGCUCCUCGGACCCCCUUUCCCCUCAUUUUAGGAUUUUUGCAUUUCAUGAUAGUUGUAGGGUCCAUUUGCUUGAGGGUCCCCUUCCGAUAAGGGAAACGAGCGAGUGUGGCUACUCGAUAGCCUUAGCACGCUAGUUUCGCCUUCUAAUCAAAGGGAAAAUCAAGUCACGAUUUAGGUCUCCCCGUACCCAAUAUGCAUGAAUUCCCUAGGCUCAUGCAUUCUCAAUCCACUCUAUCAUUACACUUUCACUUUUGUCUCAUUUGCACACAUGCACCUUUUUAUCACCCUCACUUGCACAUGAACACUUUUCCUCCCAUUUUUGCACACGUGCACCCUUGAGUUUCUUCGCUUGCACACGAACACUUUUAUCAUUAUUUGCACACAUGCACUUCAUAUUAUCAUUUCACAUACCGUACAUUGCCCACUCACGUGCACACUUUCAUUUACAUAUUUAUUUUCUUUUAUUACUUUUUCAAACUCAUGUCCUCACAUUGCACGCAUGCAUUUCAUUCAUUUGCAUCCCACUUGCAUUAUUCGUGACUUCUUCAAAAGAUUGAUAUUGGGCUUCACAAUUAAUGUGAUUGGCACCACUCAACCUUUGAAGGGAAAUUUCCCCC